rnacentral:RNase_P_RNA from 1 species
CCGCUGCCCCGCGAGGGGGAGAGGAAAGUCCGGGCAACGCAGAGCGCCGCACUACCUAACGGGUAGAUGUCCGUGAGGGCACAGCAAGGUAACAGAGAACGACCGCCCCGAAAGGGGUAAGGGUGAAAAGGCGGGGUAAGAGCCCACCGCCCGCCGUGGCGACACGCGGGGCCGUACCGCUUGCGGGUUGCAAGGCCAUGUAUACCGGCAUUCAAGGGUUGCUCGCCCGCUGCCGGGGGGUAGGCCGCUUUAGCCUGCGGGAGACUGCGGGCAUAGAUAAAUGGCGGAAACGUGCCGCAGUGCGAGCUGCGGUACGCACAGAACCCGGCUUACAGACG